UAACCGUGUCAAAUAUACGCUCUUGAGUAUUACGAUUCGAAUUUCGAAUCAUAGAAAAAUCCAAUCUGCUGUACUCUGACGCUGUCCGUUGGUGACGCGCUCUCUGGGCUCUAGCUUAUCUUUAAUCCCCAACGAAUCACUCUCAUGUUUACUUACGGUUCCAUCUGCAUCUAAUGCAUUUUUACACGACCAAAUAAUGCCAGAACUCACCUGCAACGAGAGAGAGAGAGAGAAAGGAAGACAUAGAGUGAGACGGAAUGAUGAUUAGCAGCAAAUGCAGCGUAAAUGCAAUUCGAAUGAUAAAUCAACGAUCUAAAAAUACAGCCAGCAACAACAAAAACAGCGUCAGCGGCCAAAUAAGGCAAACAAUUGCAAAAAUCUGCAUGUGGAUGGGCUGCCUGCCCCCGAUGCCCGCAGUCGACUCUGACGUCGCAGUAGACGACGACGACGCACAGCAAAGCUAAAAAUAAUUCACGCUGUUCGCUUAGAAAAUCCAAAAUUAGCCGCGGCCGAGUUGCACAGUGGUCGGAGUUCACAUCAAAAGCAGAGAGAAAUCCAACCAAAGUCGAGAGCAUUUCCAAACAGAUAAAAGAUUUUCCUUUUUUGCGCACCCACUGUAGCUGGCGUCACCGUUGAGCGUGGACAGAGCCGUAAGCAGCGACGCAAACGCCGAUGCCGAGCGACAGCAGGUUGGCAGAAAGUCUGCCACUGAUAACGGGAAAUGGCAUGCAAUGCCAGCAACAGCAGCCACAAUAAGGAGAGCCUCACCUCACUCUCGUGCCGGCCGCGUGUGUCUUUCUUCAAGCUCUCUCACGCCAAAAUAAACAAAACAAAUGUAAAGUGCGCCUCCGCCUCGCCCUCUGGAAAUGCUUGGUACAGCCACCAGACCGCCCAACCACCCCACCACACACCCCCCCUCGACCCACAACCUAGGGCAAGCCAUGAAAAUAAAUAUGUGGGCACAACAAAAAUGAAAAUUGUACGCGAAAUGUGCCGCAAAUGGCAGCAGAUUUGCCAUUAAAAUUUACAAAGGUUCUCGCUCUCGUCGUUAAGGCAGAGAAAGAGAGAGAGAGAGAGAGAAAGCGCCAACGCGUUGGGGCACAAGGUAUAUAAGGCCGAUGGUAGGGCAGUGCAACAGAGAGUGACCAAAUGUUUUAAUGUUAGAGCGAGCGAGAGUGGAGAUUAAGCCUGGGACCUUACCUUUGCUUCAAUAUACUUUUGAGGGGGGAGGCUAGGAUACGCAGACAGACCCAACUCCAGAGAGUCAGAGAGAGAGAGAGAGAGAGAGUGGGAGGCGAAGUAGAGGAAAGAAAAAGCAAAUCAAAACAACAGAAAGAAAACAAUCACAAAUGCAGGCAAAACAAAAAAAACUCUGCCUAACGGACUGACUAAGUGACUCGUUCUCUCUCUCCCUCUCUCUCUCUCACUCUGUCAGUCUAUGUGGACUGUUAAAUAACAGCUGAAAAUUAACAGUGAGUGUUUUUGGAACAAGCAAUUAAAGCUGUAAUCAAGCAAUUAGAAGUACAAUUACCAAAAAGUUGGAGCAAAUUGUGUGUGCGAAAAGAAAAGAUGUGGAACGAAGCAUUUUUAGGGAGAACUGCAGAGACGGAUGGAUAUACGAACCCCGCGCGACGUCUCUUCCUAAAUCUACUGCCACAUUACCCAUACGCAGCGUGUUGCAGCUGCAAACCAAACAUUCCUGCGGCCACGGAUCUGUUGUCAAGCGGCACUAAAAGUGUCGCAUAUGUUUUGUAAAUUAAUUAAUAUAUCUUACACCCCAUAAAGUGCAACACAACAAAAAGUGCCAGAUAAAUCAUUAACAGUGACGGAAAAAAUGUUAAUUUUUUCAUGCAAAUAAUUUACAAACAUUGACAGUAUAUUAUCAUCUCUAUUUUUUUUUUUUCAUUUUUCAAGUGCUGCAGAAAAAAUAUUCAUAUCAUUAUGGCUAAAUGACAGUGGGCCAGUGAUGCCGACAACACCAAUUAGCCAAAAGUGUUGGCCAAAACAUGACAGCCUCCAAAAUGCGGAAGAAGUGUAGUACGGAAUAGAAAUUGGAGAAAGGGACAGCAAAUGCAAGCUAUAAUUAACUUAAAAUAUAGCAAAUAUUGACCACUAAUUUUCCAAGCUAUUAAAUGUUAAAACAUUUCCUGUUUUUUAUUUUCUGGCUUUACGUUACCAAAUUCCCUGCUUAUAAAAAGUUCAAAAAUCUACCAAUUA